GGAUGAACGCUGGCGGCGUGCCUAAUACAUGCAAGUCGAGCGAACAGACGAGGAGCUUGCUCCUCUGACGUUAGCGGCGGACGGGUGAGUAACACGUGGAUAACCUACCUAUAAGACUGGGAUAACUUCGGGAAACCGGAGCUAAUACCGGAUAAUAUAUUUAACCGCAUGGUUCAAUAGUGAAAGACGGUUUUGCUGUCACUUAUAGAUGGAUCCGCGCCGCAUUAGCUAGUUGGUAAGGUAACGGCUUACCAAGGCAACGAUGCGUAGCCGACCUGAGAGGGUGAUCGGCCACACUGGAACUGAGACACGGUCCAGACUCCUACGGGAGGCAGCAGUAGGGAAUCUUCCGCAAUGGGCGAAAGCCUGACGGAGCAACGCCGCGUGAGUGAUGAAGGUCUUCGGAUCGUAAAACUCUGUUAUUAGGGAAGAACAAAUGUGUAAGUAACUAUGCACGUCUUGACGGUACCUAAUCAGAAAGCCACGGCUAACUACGUG
rnacentral:rRNA from 1 species